UACGGAGGGUGCGAGCGUUUGUUCGGAAUCACUGGGCGUAAAGCGCGUGUAGGCGGCCCACUAAGUCUGAUGUGAAAGCCCGGGGCUCACCCCCGGAAGUGCAUUGGAAACUGGUGGACUCGAGUCCCGGAGAGGAGAGUGGAAUUCCGUGGUGUAAGCGGUGAAAUGCGUAGAUAUUGGGAGGAACACCAGUGGCGAAAGGCGGCUCAGCUGGACCG
rnacentral:rRNA from 1 species